CUUAUCNGUACUCCGAAUGCAUCNUAGAUUAUAGUUUGAUCAUGGCUCAGAGUGAACGCUGGCGGUAGGCCUAACACAUGCAAGUCGAACGGCAGCACAGGAGAGCUUGCUCUCUGGGUGGCGAGUGGCGGACGGGUGAGGAAUACAUCGGAAUCUACUUUUUCGUGGGGGAUAACGUAGGGAAACUUACGCUAAUACCGCAUACGACCUACGGGUGAAAGCAGGGGAUCUUCGGACCUUGCGCGAUUGAAUGAGCCGAUGUCGGAUUAGCUAGUUGGCGGGGUAAAGGCCCACCAAGGCGACGAUCCGUAGCUGGUCUGAGAGGAUGAUCAGCCACACUGGAACUGAGACACGGUCCAGACUCCUACGGGAGGCAGCAGUGGGGAAUAUUGGACAAUGGGCGCAAACCUGAUCCAGCCAUACCGCGUNGGGUGAAGAAGGCCUUACGGGUUAGUAAAGCCCUUUAUGUUGGGAAAGAAAUCCAGUAGGAACGU
rnacentral:rRNA from 1 species